rnacentral:tRNA from 1 species
GCGCUUGUAGUUCAGUGGAUAGAGCGUUGCCCUCCGAAGGCAAAGGUUAGGGGGUUCGAAUCCCUCCAAGCGCA